GCGGCAGUAGCUCAGUGGUAGGGCUCUCACUUCGUAUGUGGAAAGACCUGGGUUUGAUUCCCGGCUGCUUGCC
rnacentral:tRNA from 1 species